ACUCUAAAGGAACUGCCUACGCAAGUAGUGAGGAAGGCGGGGAUGACGUCAAAUCAGCACGGCCCUUACGUCCAGGGCUACACACGUGCUACAAUGGCCGAUACAGAGGGCAGCUACCUGGUGACAGGAUGCAAAUCUCCAAAGUCGGUCUCAGUUCGGAUCGGAGUCUGCAACCCGACUCCGUGAAGUUGGAUUCGCUAGUAAUCGCGCAUCAGCCAUGGCGCGGUGAAUACGUUCCCGGGCCUU
rnacentral:rRNA from 1 species